GUGGGGAAUCUUGCGCAAUGGGCGAAAGCCUGACGCAGCCAUGCCGCGUGGAUGAUGAAGGUCUUAGGAUUGUAAAAUCCUUUCACCGGUGAAGAUAAUGACUGUAGCCGGAGAAGAAGCCCCGGCUAACUUCGUGCCAGCAGCCGCGGUAAUACGAAGGGGGCUGGCGUUGCUCGGAUUUACUGGGCGUAAAGGGCGCGUAGGCGGACAUUUAAGUCAGGGGUGAAAUCCCGGGGCUCAACCUCGGAACUGCCUUUGAUACUGGGUGUCUUGAGUAUGAGAGAGGUGUGUGGAACUCCGAGUGUAGAGGUGAAAUUCGUAGAUAUUCGGAAGAACACCAGUGGCGAAGGCGACACACUGGCUCAUUACUGACGCUGAGGCGCGAAAGCGUGGGGAGCAAACAGGAUUAGAAACCCCGGUAGUCC
rnacentral:rRNA from 1 species